CCUACGGGUGGCAGCAGUGAGGAAUAUUGGUCAAUGGACGCAAGUCUGAACCAGCCAUGCCGCGUGCAGGAAGACGGCUCUAUGAGUUGUAAACUGCUUUUGUACGGGGGUAAACGCAGAUACGCGUAUCUGUCUGAAAGUAUCGUACGAAUAAGGAUCGGCUAACUCCGUGCCAGCAGCCGCGGUAAUACGGAGGAUUCAAGCGUUAUCCGGAUUUAUUGGGUGUAAAGGGUGCGUAGGCGGUGGGAUAAGUUAGGGGUGAAAGCCCGGGGCUCAACUUCGGGAUGGCCACUGAUACUGUUAGGCUAGAGAGUAGUUGCGGUAGGCGGAAUGUAUGGUGUAGCAGUGAAAUGCUUAGAGAUCG
rnacentral:rRNA from 1 species